UGGUGGCCUUAGAGGAGGGGGUACACCCGAUCCCAUUCCGAACUCGGAAGUUAAGCCCUCCUUCGCCGAUGAUACUGCCAGGACCGCUGGUGGGAAAGUAGGUCGCUGCCA
rnacentral:rRNA from 1 species